UAUAUACUCCCUCCGUUCGGAAUUACUCGUCCAAAAAAUGAAUGUAUCUAGAUGCAUUUUAGUUGUAGAUACAUCCAUUUUUGUGACAAGUAAUUCCGAACGGAGGGAGUACGUU
rnacentral:pre_miRNA from 1 species